rnacentral:rRNA from 1 species
AUGCACGCUGGCGGCGUGCUUCACACAUGCCAGUCGCACGAUGAAGCCCAGCUUGCUGGGUGGAUUAGUGGCGAACGGGUGAGUAACACGUGAGUAACCUGCCCUUAACUCUGGGAUAAGCCUGGGAAACUGGGUCUAAUACCGGAUAGGAGCGUCCACCGCAUGGUGGGUGUUGGAAAGAUUUAUCGGUUUUGGAUGGACUCGCGGCCUAUCAGCUUGUUGGUGAGGUAAUGGCUCACCAAGGCGACGACGGGUAGCCGGCCUGAGAGGGUGACCGGCCACACUGGGACUGAGACACGGCCCAGACUCCUACGGGAGGCAGCAGUGGGGAAUAUUGCACAAUGGGCGCAAGCCUGAUGCAGCGACGCCGCGUGAGGGAUGACGGCCUUCGGGUUGUAAACCUCUUUCAGUAGGGAAGAAGCGAAAGUGACGGUACCUGCAGAAGAAGCACCGGCUAACUACGUG